UCCCCCUAAAGUGAGCGUCCUGCCGCCGUCCAGUGAAGAGAUUUCCACAAAGCAAGCAGCAACACUGAUGUGUGUGGCCAACAAGGGCUUCCCCUCAGACUGGAGUCUGAACUGGAAGGUGGACGGGAUCAGCAGCAGGUCUCAGUACAGCAGUGUUGCUCUCCUGGAGAAGGACGGUCUGUACAGCUGGAGCAGCAGUCUGACUCUCUCUGAGCAGGAGUGGAGCUCAGUGAUCUCAGUCAGCUGUGAGCUCACACAGAAAGACCAGCGUGAUAAAGUCACUGGAGAAUUGAGGAGAGAUCAGUGUUCACAGUAG